CGGCCGAACUCAAGAGAGCAGUAAUCUCCUUCAUUUCUACAGGAAAAUCGAUCAGCAACUUUACUGUCGAUGUCUUUAAAUUCACAACGGCUGAGGUCCAAGGCGAGUUCAGGAUCAGGAAGGGGAAAGGCUGUUGAGAAAUUUACUUCGUUAGCGCACAUAAACUGAUAGAAACAUGGCAGCUACGCAGUUCUCCGCCGGAAAAUUUUAAGUUGACGAGCAACGCGAGAUUCGUUUCUACAAAAAAAAACUUUUCGACGACCAAUUCCAGCAAAUUCGAUUUUCCAUCAACAGUCUUAAGAAAAGUUACCAACGUUUUCUCGAACUUUUGAGAGGAUAAAGAUACCUUUACAAGCUUAAGUUUUGUUAAAACGUCGAUUGUAAAGCCCCACGCACGCUCAAUAGAGGAGUUUCCCUCGUUCAUAAAGUUUCCUAUGCAAAGUAUGAUGCCCAAGAUAGUUUUAAUGCCUUUACAUCUCAAGCCC